CAACAGCGGUAAGGUGGUACUAUUCGUAAGUCCUACUUAUUGAUCAACACUACUCAUAUUAUCAUAUAAAGGACAGAGUAGGCAAAUGGUUGAGGACACUAUUGCUAAACAUAAAGCCAAGCCUCCAGGUGUUGUGUGUAUCAAUCAGCCCACUGGAGAUAUAUCAAUCUUUUAAUAAAUUAUAAGGUCUCCACUGCUUGAUACUUCACCAAAUGCUGGCUACACCAGAAGAUUACUAAAUGUUCUUAACACUUAAUAACUACCACAAGCAUUACUUCUGGGUCACUCUGAAGGGUCCAAUCGUUCAAUUACUGAAAUGAUAAAGUUGAUGAAAUUGCUCAAAAAUUGUCUGGCACCUUCUUAACUCAGAGGCAUAGGAAUGUGGAUGGAUUAUGACAUACCUUGCACAAAUCAACAACCAGGCUUAUAUUGGAUUUGAAUCCCAAAGGAAAGAGAAAGUCUGUUAUCCAAAACAAACAUGGAAAAUAUCAGAAACCAACAAAGCACAAGCAGGCAGAAUGUCAUGGACCCAACUUUGGGGAAUCUCCCAAAACCAAGUAUAAAAAGAGAGAGGUGUGGUUGUGUCUCUCAGCUCCACAAGGGUCAACAAGAAUGAGGACAACAGUGAUUUUCGUAAUAAUUUUAGAUCAGAUUUUCAAUUUUUUUUAUCAGUUGGAUCAGUUUAACAGUUUCAUACAAAUUGCAUUUAAAUACUUAACAAAAAGAAAAGAUUCUCUUACCAAAAUAGUCUAAGAAAAAUGCUGAUUUGUAAAUUAAUAAAUUGUUUCCUUUUGUAAUAAUAUAAUAAUUUAAGUUUGCAUUGUAUAUAUGUUUAGUGUAGAUUUAGUGUCCUAAAUGAAAUGCAAUAUACAAUAUAGGUACAUUUUUUUCUUUAAAGAAUUAGUUGCAAAUUUCUUUCAUUAUUUUGUUUCACUGUACAAUCUGAAAAAAGUUUGCUACAUUUGUAUUGACAAUACUUCUGCUGGUGAUAUUUAUUUCUAAUUAAUGAAGUAAAUUAAUAUAUUAACUGUACUAUAAUUAAAUACCUCACACUCGAGGCAAAAAAAAACAUAUUUAUUGAAUAUCGCAGUGAUAUUCCUGAUCUACACAAUGCGUAUAAACCCUCGAACCAUCGGUCUUUUGAAAGAUUGUACAUUUUGUAUACACAAUGGCAUUCAUUUCAACACUAUUUAACCACAAACUAUAAUCUAGAGAUCCUGAACAUAUUUUAGCUCUGUUAUUUAUGGACAAGGUAGACUCGUCCAGCAUUAAACUGUAAUCUACCUUAAUUAGAAUACUUAAACAAGCUAUGCAAUUAAAUGUUGUUAGACAAAUAUUUUAUACUUUUUAUUUUUAAUGAUAUGUUUACGUAUCAUAGUACAAGACAGCUUCUGUAUUCGUGUACAGUAAAUUAAGUUUUUACAUUAGUUUAAUUUAAACUGUACUUAACAUCUGUUACAUUAUAUGAAAAUGUUUUGUAUAUUUGUUUUAAUUAGUUUGUAUAAAAGCAAAAUGAAAGUUACUACACUAUUAUUUACAUAUU